rnacentral:tRNA from 1 species
GUUUAAAUAGUUUAAAAAAAAUAUAGAUUUGUGGAAUCUGAGAUAUGUUUAAGACAUUUUAGACA